UAGCUAUCAUUCCAGCAUUCUAUAAGUUGACCGUCCAAUCACUGUUGCUAGAGCCAUUCAUGUCUUCUCAAUUUAUAAACAUGGCAACUUGGAAUUUGGCUUGUAAGUGCUCCAGGAUGUUUGUACACAGUAGACUGUUGACUUUCGUGUCAGUCACACAUGAAUGUGGGCUCUCACUCUGCAUCCUACAUUUCCACUAGUUCUAUCCUCUGGCCUAAAGGACUGCUGUGAGGUAGCAGAGAAGUGGCGACGCAGUGUCUUAACGACAGAACAAAAAUCUGGAGGAAAGAUACCCAAGCAUCCCUGGAGAGGAAGCCCAAUCCAGACAGCAGAGUAUCAUCUGACCUCCGGCAGCUCAGCCUGGAUGACUUUCCAGAGGAUGGUGAGAGGCUAGUAAAGGACUCCAGAGAAGGACUAUCCAGAGAAGAAGACAGGAAUUAUGAGACAUUGUUUGGCGGCUCCUGGCUCUCACCCAGGGCAGAACAAGUCCCACAGGCUUUUUGUGAAGGAGGGUGUGGCCUCCUGUAGGGCCUCUGUAAGGCAGGUGUGUGAGGAGGCCCAUAGACAGUGUGUGCAGAUCCAGGGGGUUAGUAAGAAGGACUUGGAACAAGAUGAGCGCAGGAGGGGUCCACCAGGUUUUAUGCCUGCAUGCCAGUCCUCUGGGUUAUCUGCCAGAGGACAAUACCUCCAAGCCACCCAGGGACAGCAGUCGCAUCCCCCUCUGGCUACUCUUCGAUGGAGUGCAAGACCCAAUGAACGUUCUGCAUAUUUUCUUGGGGUAGAUCGAGUUGGCGGAAGUCUUUGUAACAGGUGGUGA
rnacentral:lncRNA from 1 species